AUUUUCAAAAAUCAAUAUCUUCUUCAUUUUUAAUCCAAAAAUUAUGGGACCAAUUGCAUUAGUCUCCAAAUAAAUUCUAGUUUCUAUUUAUGAUUUUUAAUAUUUUUUAUUUCAUCAUUUGAUAUUUUUUGUGAAUUUUCUCUUUUCUGGUUGUUUUUAGUUCAUUUUAAAUAGUUUUUGAUAUUCAAAAAAUACAAAAAUAUUUUCCUAACCUAUUUGAAUGAUGAUGAAUCUAU
rnacentral:lncRNA from 1 species